UACGAAGGUGGCAAGCGUUACUCGGAAUUACUAGGCGUAAAGCGCGGGUAGGUGGUUAUGAAAGUCUGCUGUGAAAGCUCCUGGCUUAACUGGGAGAGGUCAGCGGAAACUCCAUAACUGGAGUGUAGGAGAGGGUACUGGAAUUCCCGGAGUAGCGGUGAAAUGCGCAGAGAUCGGGAGGAACACCAAAGGCGAAAGCAGGUACCUGGACUAUUACUGACACUGAGCCGCGAAAGCUAGGGGAGCAAACAGG
rnacentral:misc_RNA from 1 species